rnacentral:sRNA from 1 species
UGGUAGAUGCACCCUGAUGGCAAACCCCGGAACCUGCUGGAGGUUCCGGGGUUUUUUUU